rnacentral:rRNA from 1 species
GUGAACGCUGGCGGUAGGCCUAACACCUGCAAGUCGAACGGCAGCACAGUAAGAGCUUGCUCUUACGGGUGGCGAGUGGCGGACGGGUGAGGAAUACAUCGGAAUCUACUUUUUCGUGGGGGAUAACGUAGGGAAACUUACGCUAAUACCGCAUACGACCUACGGGUGAAAGCAGGGGAUCUUCGGACCUUGCGCGAUUGAAUGAGCCGAUGUCGGAUUAGCUAGUUGGCGGGGUAAAGGCCCACCAAGGCGACGAUCCGCAGCUGGUCUGAGAGGAUGAUCAGCCACACUGGGACUGAGACACGGUCCAGACUCCUACGGGAGGCAGCAGUGGGGAAUAUUGGGCAAUGGGCGCAAGCCUGAUCCAGCCAUACCGCGUGGGUGAAGAAGGCCUUCGGGUUGUAAAGCCCUUUUGUUGGGAAAGAAAAGCAGCAGGUUAAUACCCCGCUGUUCUGACGGUACCCAAAGAAUAAGCACCGGCUAACUUCGUG